rnacentral:rRNA from 1 species
AACGAACGCUGGCGGCAUGCCUAACACAUGCAAGUCGAACGAGACCUUCGGGUCUAGUGGCGCACGGGUGCGUAACGCGUGGGAAUCUGCCCUUGGGUUCGGAAUAACAGUUGGAAACGACUGCUAAUACCGGAUGAUGACGUAAGUCCAAAGAUUUAUCGCCCAAGGAUGAGCCCGCGUAGGAUUAGCUAGUUGGUGAGGUAAAGGCUCACCAAGGCGACGAUCCUUAGCUGGUCUGAGAGGAUGAUCAGCCACACUGGGACUGAGACACGGCCCAGACUCCUACGGGAGGCAGCAGUGGGGAAUAUUGGACAAUGGGCGAAAGCCUGAUCCAGCAAUGCCGCGUGAGUGAUGAAGGCCUUAGGGUUGUAAAGCUCUUUUACCCGGGAUGAUAAUGACAGUACCGGGAGAAUAAGCUCCAGCUAACUCCGUG